rnacentral:rRNA from 1 species
CCUACGGGUGGCAGCAGUGGGGAAUCUUCCGCAAUGGGCGAAAGCCUGACCCAGCAACGCCGCGUGAAGGAAGAAGGCUUUCGGGUUGUAAACUUCUUUUGUCAGGGACGAAGCAAGUGACGGUACCUGACGAAUAAGCUACGGCUAACUACGUGCCAGCAGCCGCGGUAAUACGUAGGUGGCAAGCGUUAUCCGGAUUUACUGGGUGUAAAGGGCGUGUAGGCGGGAGUGCAAGUCAGAUGUGAAAGCUAUGGGCUCAACCCAUAGCCUGCAUUUGAAACUGUACUUCUUGAGUGCUGGAGAGGCAAUCGGAAUUCGGGGUGUAGCGGUGAAAUGCGUAGAUAUACGGAGGAACACCAGUGGCGAAGGCGGAUUGCUGGACAGUAACUGACGCUGAGGCGCGAAAGCGUGGGGAGCAAACAGGAUUAGAUACCCCAGUAGUC